GGGUCAGCAGGUUGGUCGUGCCACCGGUACGUACUGGUCUCACUGAUUCCUCCUUCCUGAAGAACCGUAAUGCCAUUAAUUUGGUGUUGCGGGGAAACAGGACUGCUACUUUGAAAAAAUUAGAGUGUUUAAAGCAAGCUAACGCUUGAAUACAUUAGCAUGGAAUAAUGAAAUAGGACGAUCGAUCCUAUUUUGUUGGUUUCUAGGAUUGACGUA
rnacentral:rRNA from 1 species